rnacentral:lncRNA from 1 species
UUUUUGGUAUAAAAGAUGUUUGAGAAAAAUAGAGUGUGGGGAUGAGAAAAGAAUUCAUUGAUUAUAUUUUUGUGUUUGACAAGACCUUCGGUCUUAUGCCUACGUACCAACAUAAAAAUGAGGGAUCAAAACCUCGUAGUUUGAAAUCACAAGCAAAGAAAGUUUUUGAAAAAAGGGGAGAGAUUUUGAAAUUCAAGGAGUGGGAGGAGAUGAAGAGACUAAUCCUAAGCAUAAAAUUAAAAGUUAAGAGUUAAAAAGAUCUGAC